UGAGGAAUAUUGGUCAAUGGGCGAGAGCCUGAACCAGCCAAGUAGCGUGCAGGAUGACGGCCCUAUGGGUUGUAAACUGCUUUUAUGUGGGGAUAAAGUGCGUGACGUGUCAUGCAUUGCAGGUACCACAUGAAUAAGGACCGGCUAAUUCCGUGCCAGCAGCCGCGGUAAUACGGAAGGUCCGGGCGUUAUCCGGAUUUAUUGGGUUUAAAGGGAGCGUAGGCUGUCUAUUAAGCGUGUUGUGAAAUUUACCGGCUCAACCGGUGGCUUGCAGCGCGAACUGGUCGACUUGAGUAUGCAGGAAGUAGGCGGAAUUCAUGGUGUAGCGGUGGAAUGCUUAGAUAUCAUGACGAACUCCGAUUGCGCAGGCAGCUUACUGUAGCAUAACUGACGCUGAUGCUCGAAAGUGCGGGUAUCAAACAGG
rnacentral:rRNA from 1 species